UACCAGGGCGCCGUAGCAGAAACAGGAAACGACAUUGUUUUCGAUGGCGAUGGCAGCAAGGGCAAUGGUGCUAACAUGUCCGGCGAACAGUAGAGUGACGGCGCCGGUGGAAAACUGGCAUACGGAGGUGAAGAUGGCAGGGCCUGCCAGGAACCAGAGCUUCUUGGACUCCCUGUAGAAUUCUCUAAAGAAAUCGCGGGCACCGUUAAUUGGAGAAAUGUCAUCAGCGCCGGCGUCAAAGGUAGCGGCAGAAGAAGUGUUGGGCGUUGAUGUAGGAAGUAACAGCGAUUGGUUUUGGUCUUCUCUUGGGGAGAGAAGUGGGUGGCUUGACUCUUCCAUAUUAUAUGGACUGCAAGAGACAGAUAUGG